GACGAACGCUGGCGGCGUGCUUAACACAUGCAAGUCGAGCGAUGAAGCUCCUUCGGGAGUGGAUUAGCGGCGGACGGGUGAGUAACACGUGGGUAACCUGCCUCAUAGAGGGGAAUAGCCUUCCGAAAGGAAGAUUAAUACCGCAUAAGAUUGUAGUUCCGCAUGGGACAGCAAUUAAAGGAGUAAUCCGCUAUGAGAUGGACCCGCGUCGCCUUAGCUAGUUGGUGAGGUAACGGCUCACCAAGGCGACGAUGCGUAGCCGACCUGAGAGGGUGAUCGGCCACAUUGGGACUGAGACACGGCCCAGACUCCUACGGGAGGCAGCAGUGGGGAAUAUUGCACAAUGGGGGAAACCCUGAUGCAGCAACGCCGCGUGAGUGAUGACGGUCUUCGGAUUGUAAAACUCUGUCUUUGGGGACGAUAAUGACGGUACCCAAGGAGGAAGCCACGGCUAACUACGUGCCAGCCGCCGCAGUAAGAC
rnacentral:rRNA from 1 species